GGAUGCAAUCAUACCAGCACUAAAGCACCGGAUCCCAUCAGUAGUACUAGGAUGGGUGACCUCCUGGGAAGUCCGCGUGUUGCAUUCC
rnacentral:rRNA from 1 species